GGUGAAAAUUACACUAUUUGGCUAAUGUUGAAGUGGCAAAUCAAAGUGUCGCAACUGGGGAGGUGGAAUUGGUGAGUAGGUUUGUUGAUGAUUUCUUUGCAGGUGAAACUAUGAAGAGCAACAGGACGACCUUCGCCAUGAGGACAUCUAAUGCGAGUGAGCUGAACACGUUAUAAGAAUGUUUGAUGGAAAGAGAGGGCAGUAGAAGGGAGAUGCGGGCCAACUCUUAACGGAUGGAGCAGCCCGGGCAAAUUUAACAAAAUGUUGGUUAAUCCAAAAUCAUCAAUUAUAAAAUACAUAGAAAUGCGUACACAUGACAA